AUUGAACGCUGGCGGCAGGCCUAACACAUGCAAGUCGAACGAGUCGCGGGCGGGAGGGAAAUGUCUGGGACAAUGCGUGAUGGAGGGGUAUAACUACUGGAAACGGUAGCUAAUAACGCAUACAAUCGGAUAUGCCGAGAUGGGAUUAGCUUGUAGGUGUGGUAAAGGCUCACCUAGGCGACGAUCCCUAGCUGGUCUGAGAGGAUGACCAGCCACACGGGAACUGAGACACGGCCCAGACUCCUACGGGAGGCAGCAGUGGGGAAUAUUGCACAAUGGGCGCAAGCCUGAUGCAGCCAUGCCGCGUGUAUGAAGAAGGCCUUCGGGUUGUAAAGUACUUUCAGCGGGGAGGCGGUACCGGCAGAAGAAGCACCGGCUAACUCCGUGCCAGCAGCCGCGGUAAUUC
rnacentral:rRNA from 1 species